AGAGGGAUAGCUGGGUCAAAUGGUUGUUCCACUCCCAAUUUUCCAAGAAAUCUCCAUACUGUUUUCUAUAUUGGCUGCACCAAUUUGCAGUCCCACCAGCAGU
rnacentral:pre_miRNA from 1 species